AGCAGCCGCGGUAAUUCCAGCUCCAAUAGCAUAUAUUAAAGUUGUUGCAGUUAAAAAGCUCGUAGUUGAAUUUCGGAAUCAAUAUAUCGGUCAUGCUUAGGUAUGUACUGGUAUUAUUGAUUUCUCCCUUCUGAAGAACCAUGAUGUCAUUAAUUUGGUGUCGUGGGGAAUCAGGACUGUUACUUUGAAAAAAUUAGAGUGUUUAAAGCAGGCAUACGCUUGAAUACAUUAGCAUGGAAUAAUGAAAUAGGACGUUUGAUUCUAUUUUGUUGGUUUCUAGGAUCGACGUAAUGAUUAAUAGGGAUAGUUGGGGGCAUUAGUAUUCAAUUGUCAGAGGUGAAAUUCUUGGAUUUAUUGAAGACUAACUACUGCGAAAGCAUUUGCCAAGGAUGUUUUCAUUAAUCAAGAACGAAAGUUAGGGGAUCGAAGACGAUCAGAUACCGUCGUAGUCUUAACCAUAAACUAUGCCGACUAGGGAUCGGAUGAUGUUAAUUUUCUAA
rnacentral:rRNA from 1 species